CUAGUUUUCCACGUCCUUCAGCAGACAGUCGCAAGCGGGUCUGUUUUUCCGAAGAGACGGGUUUUAGGAUAGUAAACGUACUGUUUUACCACAAUUGAUUUACUCUCACUUUCACAAUUGGGAUGGUAAAUGGAAAACAGAGCAACUGAGAUGUCCCAACAGUGCAGAAAUCGUUCACAUUCGAAGAAUACGAUGACCCAAAGCAAUCACUGAACGUUUCCAUCCCUGAGGUUUUUGCGCACUUUCGCCAUUUGGAACCAGCAAUGCUUCUGAAAAUAAUAUUGUUCGCCUUCAACUGCAUUGUGGUAAUUGGCCCCGAAGCCUGCCGAGUUCCUUGGAGAGGAGUACAGAUCAGACUUUUCUGAAUCAAUGGAAGUUGACAUUCAUGUGAACUGUAAUCAUUUCGUUUCUCCCCUCGGUACUAGGUCCUUGAUCCACAAUAUGGGAUGCAUGUAUGGCCCUGUGCAGUGGUAUUAGCACAAUAUGUGUGGACACAUAGGGAGGAGCUGAUGCACAAAACAGUGCGAGAGCUUGGGGCUGGCGGGAGUUUACCUGGUGUGGUGGCAGCAAAGUGUGGGGCACAAGUGAUCUUGUCAGACAGUGCAGAACUUCGUGUCUGGAGAACUGUGAAGUGAAUGAACUGCCCAAUGUGCUUGUGGUGGGUAUUACCUGGGGAGAAGUCUCCCCAGACCUUCUGCUCCUCCCUCCAUUAGACAUCAUCUUGGGAUCAGACGUUUUCUAUGAGCCUGAAGAUUGAAAAUGUCCUGGUGACCAUCUCCUUCCUCGAGGAAAAACACUGAAGCCCAAUUUUGGACAACUUACCAAGAGAGAAGUGCCGACUGGUCCAGAGGCAUUGCUGCACAAAUGGAACUUGAAGUGUCUCAACAUUCCACUGGAGAAAUUCUAUGCCAACAAAGAUCAAAUAGCUGGGUCAACACUUCCAGGAAGCCAUACUGUACAAAUUAUUAUAACUGAGGACAAGGAAAGCUGAAUGGAAGACACAAUUGUGUCAGCAAGGCAGUCAGUCAAAUAGUCAAGACCCAAUACAAGAUCAAUGGUUAAAAACUCAAUGCAUUAUAAAAUAGUUUACAUUGUAUAGUAAGUAGUGUUCUGUUAAAGUUUUAGAAUAAAUUGAUAACCCAAAUGUUUUAGAAGACAAUUUAUUAGCUUUCACAUUGGACACCUAUACAGACUCUUGCAAGGGGGAAAAGGAAUGCACAAAGGGCAAGACAGAAUGCAUUAAACAAAAUUAGCACAACAUACUUAGUGCUCUGAAUUAGAUAACAUUUUAACUUGUUGAAAGACAGGCAUUCUACCGAUGGUGAAUUUGUAGCAGCCAUUUAAGUUGGCCACCAUCACAGCAUUGUAGCCACAGGGGCAUUCCGGAGAACACUGGAAACAGCCAAGCACUGCAACACGCCACCUUAACAGCUAACCAGCAAUACUCAACUGCUACACAACUGCGCCUAGUGCACAAAAAAUACAGGAGAGAAGAUUAGAGUCACAAUGAAAUUAAACAAAGCUACAUAGCAAGUUGACCUGCAAGUAAAUCCAUGCCUGGUUCUUGUCACACUUAUUCUAAAAGCCCUAGCCAUUUUAACUUCUGUAAUGGCCUUCAUGAAACCCAAAAUAACAAUUGUAAAAGCUAGGCCAUCAAAUCUUCAGACAGUUUUAGAUAGCUAAAAUAGCCAUGCAGGCCAACAAAUUGAAAUCCAAGCAGUUUUAGCCCAUCUACCUCAAAAGCACAUUAAGUAUAGUUUUUAUUUUUUUGUUAAACAUUGCACAAUGAAAGACGAGCAGUCUGGGCAAAAAA